AUGACAAGCCAGCCAGGAGAGGGGUACACCAGGAGAGGAGUACAGCCAGAAAAGGGGUACAGCUGGAGAAGAAGGCUUCAAAAUCAUAUUAUCUCUGGGAGCAGAACCUGUGGGAGCCUGUGGGGUGGAAAGGGUAAGCGCCCCCCACUUUCCGCUCCUUGUCUGCCUGGAGCAGCCCAGCCCCAGUCGGAACCUAAUGUGCGCAAAGGUCCGCAGGAAAAAACAGCCGGGUGGGGCAAGGAACAGCCCAAGCCUGCAGGGGACCGGGGAGCACGGCAGCCUGGCGCACCGUUCUGGCAGUCCUCUCCAGCAUUCUCCAGUCCCAGGCAGCAGGGUAAAAAGGCUCCCCAGGGCGUUCGCCAACGGGUCCCUGUGCGCACCGAGGGCAGCCUUUGUGGGGUCCUCGUAGCCAGCCAAGAUGGCUGCCCCCGCAGUGAGGGUUUCCCGAGGCUAACCCAGGUGAGAUGGAGCUGCUAUAGUGCUGAAUUCAAGGAUCCCCUGAUUGACAAGGAACAUUAUCGCAAGCCUGUGGAGAAGCUAACUGAGGAGAAGUAUGAUCGGGAGCUCAAGAAGACUCAGCUCAUCAAAGCUGCUCCAGCAGCGAAAACAAGUUCUGUGUUUGAAGACCCAGUCGUCAGUAAAAUUCACCAACAUGACGAUGAAAGGAGGAAGCAAAAUACUGGCCAGAUCCCUCAUGACUCAGACUCUGGAAGCUGUGAAAAGGAAGUAGUUUGAGAAGUACCAUGCCCUUCUGCAGAGGAACAGGCAACCAUUGAACAGAACCCCUACACCAUCUUCCACCAAGCACUGAAAAACUGUGAGCCUAUGAUAGGGCUGGUACCCAUCCUCAGAGGAAGCCGUUUCUACCAGGUCCCUGUACCCCUACCUGACCGACGUCGCUGCUUCCUGGCCAUGAAGUGGAUGAUCACUGAGUGCUGGGAGAACAAGCAUAGGCGGACUCUGAUGCCAGAGAAGCUGUCACACGAGCUGCUGGAGGCUUUUCAUAACCAGGACCCCGCCAUCAAGAGGAAGCAUGACGUGCAUAAGAUGGCUGAAGCCAAACGUGCCCUGGCCCACUACCGCUGGUGGUAGAGGUUCCAGGAGCCCAGGGCCCUCUGCCGCAAGAAACAGUGUGAGCCACUGCACACUGAAAAAUACCUGUGGUUAAGGAUGUAGCUGGUUGGUAAGGGUGGGCAAGCCUCAGAAGAAAGAUGGAGCAGCAUAUUUACUGUCCGGGAAUCCUUUCUUUGAGGCUAGAACUUGCUCUCUCUGCCCCCAUUGCCUUGUAAAGAUCCCUCACUGUAAAGAUCCCACAUUGACUUGGGGAUUUCCUGCAGGAAACUCGGGGCCCAGUCUUCUCUUCCCUCAGCUUGGGGUUGACCUUUGGAUAUAAAAGCAAGCAGUUUUAGUAUUAGAAAAGAUUUAUUGGAAAAUUCUCAUGCUGACGUGGUAUAACAUGUGGUGCAGUGCCAGCAUUCAUUGAAACUGGCUGGAGGAAAUAGGCUUGUUUCCCGAGUUGUCCUUGUAGAAAAUGUAUAAAAAGUAGUUUCUGGUGUGAAAAAA